rnacentral:rRNA from 1 species
GACGAACCGUGCGAACGUUAUUCGGAAUCACUGGGCUUAAAGCGCGUGUAGGCGGGAGGGAACGUCGGCCGCUGAAAUCCCCCGGCUUAACCGGGGAAGGGGCGCCGAUACGGCCUUCCUGGAGGGACGUAGGGGGAGCUGGAACUUCCGGUGGAGCGGUGAAAUGCGUUGAGAUCGGAAGGAGCGCCCCGCGGCGAAAGCGAGCUCCUGGACGUCUGCUGACGCUGAGACGCGAAAGCCAGGGGAGCGGAACGGG